UUAGGGAAAGCUUUCCCUGGAGCAGGGAUGAAAGCUGCUAUGCUUAAGUUCACUUUGUGCUAUUCCUUGGCUCUCAACAGCCAAGAUCCCUUUCCAUCCUGCUGCAACACUUACAAAAACACCUACAUUGCUUUUUUCAUGUAACCCACCACCACAUACCAACAAACGCCUUCCUACUCCAGGUGUUCCAGUCUCCUUUUAGCCCUUUCUCAGAAAAAAGCAUGGCAGAGAAUGCUAGAAGCCCAAAAUUCUGCAGAGACUGUUGCCAGGAGGAAGAAGCUUCAGUAACUGUCACACUCAUUUUACUUGUGGAUGAAGAGAGAAGAUGGCCAGACUCAAUGUCAAACAACCUCAAUACUGUAAGAAUGGAGAAAGAUACAAAGAAUGACCACAUUUCUGAGACCAGAGUGAGAAACACGAUGAGCUCCCAGUCAACAGGGGUUACCCCUCAAGUGAUUGCUACUACCCCCAGCACCAAAUUACAAGCAUCUUCACGAUGAACAGAAGACCACUGCUUCUGGAAGUUCACCAUGAUACUUCCCACCACUCUAAGGAUACAUGGUUCACCCUAGUCCAAGAAUCAAACCCUAACAAAAAGGGAUGAACAGCAGAGAAGGGAGAUGUGAGUCCUGCCUGGACCAACACGGAUUAAGGAAGGCAUCUAGGAGAUGAAACCCAAAUAGAAGAUUCUUGGAGUUCAUCAUCCAAUGUGAUCUCAUUACACUCAGCCCUGUCCUUCAACACACUCACAAUGGAGCCCUUUGAUCUCUUCCUUGGGUCAUGGACUGAUGAUGAUGGCUCAUAAACCAGAUCAACUGAUACAGUUUCUCACCCAAAUUCCCUCCUCGCAUAUGGUUCUCUCCUUCCUGCCCAAGGCUACUGACUGUAUGUACAGUGUAUGCUGAAAGCACACUCACUCCUGGAAGGUGACACCUCACAGAAACCAUAGACACAGCUUAAUCGAUGAUCAUUAUAAAAAGCUCUGCCAAUACCUUGGACUAAAGCUCCUGAAAGGGGGACUUCCAUGUCAGGAUUGCCUUCUUUCACUAGCAUACACCUCAGCCUCCAUGGCUACUGUUGGUCUCCUGGCAUCCUCUCCAACCAAUCCAAUCUGUUAGCUCAGAAUCCGACCUUCCCAUUGGCUGCUGCCUCGUUUAUGACACCAUUCUCCCUCCAACUCAACCUACCAACCCUGGUAGGUUCUUGGGGUUGCCAUGGCAAUGCCUGUAAACAAAUUUGGAUCAUCACAGGUCACCUGUGACCAGUGACCAGUAAGUGCUGUCUGAUACCGGACACACUUGCGACUCAGGUCAGCUGAUCAGACAAGGACAAGCAAAUUCUCUUGCUCCAUUGUACUGUGGACUACUGAUACUCUUCCUCUGACCAUGGCAGGCUUUUUAGCAGCAGUUCAGCUGAGAUCCAUUCCAGUGAGAACUCAGAGACUUUCAGUCUGAGGAAACAAGAUCAACUGUGGAGUUAAUGAGAAAGGACCGACCAAAGCCUAUUUAGAUUCCAGCCAGAAAUGUCCAACAUCACCCCACCAACCAAAAAGAUGGUUAAUCUCUCAUUGGCUGGUCAGGGACAGAGAAGGCUGAAAAAACCCCACCCCUAGUAAACAA